rnacentral:rRNA from 1 species
UACGUAGGGGGCAAGCGUUGUCCGGAUUUAUUGGGCGUAAAGAGCGUGUAGGCGGCUUUACAGGUCCGCUGUGAAAACUCGAGGCUCAACCUCGAGCUGUCGGUGGAAACCGUAAAGCUAGAGUCCGGAAGAGGAGAGUGGAAUUCCCGGUGUAGCGGUGAAAUGCGCAGAUAUCGGGAAGAACACCCGUGGCGAAGGCGGCUCUCUGGGCCUGUCCUGACGCUGAGGCGCGAAAGCUAGGGGAGCGAACAGG